CCUACGGGUGGCAGCAGUGGGGAAUAUUGCACAAUGGGCGCAAGCCUGAUGCAGCCAUGCCGCGUGUGUGAAGAAGGCCUUCGGGUUGUAAAGCACUUUCAGCGGGGAGGAAGGCGUUAAGGUUAAUAACCUUGUCGAUUGACGUUACCCGCAGAAGAAGCACCGGCUAACUCCGUGCCAGCAGCCGCGGUAAUACGGAGGGUGCAAGCGUUAAUCGGAGUUACUGGGCGUAAAGCGCACGCAGGCGGUCUGUCAAGUCGGAUGUGAAAUCCCCGGGCUCAACCUGGGAACUGCAUUCGAAACUGGCAGGCUAGAGUCUUGUAGAGGGGGGUAGAAUUCCAGGUGUAGCGGUGAAAUGCGUAGAGAUCUGGAGGAAUACCGGUGGCGAAGGCGGCCCCCUGGACAAAGACUGACGCUCAGGUGCGAAAGCGUGGGGAGCAAACUGGAUUAGAUACCCCUGUAGUC
rnacentral:rRNA from 1 species